rnacentral:lncRNA from 1 species
UAAGUUUUGGAAUAAGGGAAAGGGGGAUGUGAUUAAAAAAAUUGGGUUCAAUUUUCUCAUUUGAAAUUUCAUAAAUAAAAAGAAAAUUUCUUCAAACAUUUUUUUGAGAGGAAUAAUAUUCAACAGCAUAGUGAAUUGCUCUAAGAGAAAACAAAAAUUUUAAUUUCAUAAGAACACAUUCAUUCUGUGUCAGAAACCUAUGCUGUGUCAACUAUUUAAUCACAAUCCAAAUUUAGAGCUAAAUCCAGCUUGAAUGUUGUGUCCAUACUUGCCCCAACCGUUCAGGUUCAAACU